GGCCAGAUAGCUUAGCUGGUAAAGCACCUGACUAAAGAUUCAGGGGACCUAGGUUCAAAUUCUGGUCUGGUCU